CCUACGGGAGGCAGCAGUAGGGAAUAUUGCUCAAUGGGGGAAACCCUGAAGCAGCAACGCCGCGUGGAGGAUGAAGGUUUUCGGAUUGUAAACUCCUUUUGUUAGAGAAGAUAAUGACGGUAUCUAACGAAUAAGCACCGGCUAACUCCGUGCCAGCAGCCGCGGUAAUACGGAGGGUGCAAGCGUUACUCGGAAUCACUGGGCGUAAAGAGCGCGUAGGCGGGAUAGCAAGUCAGAUGUGAAAUCCUAGGGCUUAACCAUAGAACUGCAUUUGAAACUGUUAUUCUAGAGUAUGGGAGUGGUAGGUGGAAUUCUUGGUGUAGGGGUAAAAUCCGUAGAGAUCAAGAGGAAUACUCAUUGCGAAGGCGACCUGCUAGAACAUAACUGACGCUGAUGCGCGAAAGCGUGGGGAGCAAACAGGAUUAGAUACCCGUGUAGUC
rnacentral:rRNA from 1 species